CCGGCUCACAUCGGAGGACAAAGGGAGGGAGUUGGUCAGAUGGCUGAAAAGCAAGACAUUGCAGGACUAAAGACACGCAUGCCCACCUCACUGACGGCCCACACGCUGUCCUUUACAGGGAAAGGAGCUGCCUCUCCAGGAGCCCAUUCCACCCAAAGCUCUCUGGCCUGAUUCCCUCUGCCAGAAGGGGCUGUAAGUAACCAGCGUGACAAGAGGACUCAGAUACCCUGCUCAUUGGGAGGGAGACCAGGAUUGGGGAGGGGUGCUGGAUGGAGGCGGCAGGGGGUUAAGACAGAAUCCACUGGGUAUGAGGCAGAUAUGGGCUCGACCCAGGUUGGUCAGCUGCCAACUAUGUGACCUCAGCUGAGGCCUUCUAAUUUGGCUUGAUCGCUAGUUGCCAAACACCCACCUGCAGGCUUUUCUGCCCACUCUUUUAUUCACCUGAAGUAAGUGUCAUCUAGGAUGCUUACUGCCUCCAUUUGCUAACCCCGGCAGAGUCCUGGAAGAUUCUAGUCUCCAUACAGUCUAAUCUAGGCCGAUUCAGUCUGGCUUCUCUCAGUUUCUCACUGAAUCGCUUUGCUUGGCCUCAAACUAACUGUUCUAGUCUUCUGGCUCCUUCUGUCUUUGUCUAGCUGGUUCUCUCUUCAACCUGCCUCUGUAAAACUCUCCUAGUAAAACUGCCUCUGACUUCUACAAACAGAACUGCCACAACUCCACUCCACUGCACUGCCUCUCGACUCAACUGCCUGAACAGCACUGGCUGGAACUCAGAGAUCUGCAUGCCUCUGUCUCCUGAAAUUAAAGACACCUGGACCUAAAUUUUUCUUCACCUGAAACUUGUUCUAUACCAGGCUGGCCUUGAACUCAAGAGAUCUGUUUGCCUCGGUCUCCUGAGAUUAAAGGUGUGUCUGUAUUCCAACAGGAUCACAGACCUAGAAUCUUUGAAUGUGAUCUCUUGCCAGAGCCUGCCAUGUUCUGAAUUAAAAUUCCUCUAUACUCUUGUUUUCUUUCUUUCUUUUUUUGUAAGCCAGGUUGGCUCUGAACUGAGAUCCUCCUGUCUCUGCCUCCCAAGUGCUGGGAUUAAAAGCCUGUACUACCAUGCCUGGCCUUUUUUAGAUUAUAAUUUAAGGACUAUGAAAAGUAUAAAACUUAUUUUUCAGACAUGGUCUUAUGUAGCCCAGGUGUGGUCUCUACCUUUCUUAGUUGAAGCUAAUCUUUGAACCCCUGAUCUUUUUGCCUCUGCCUCCACAGGCUGAGAUUACAGGCUUGCACCACCACGACUAGCUCAAAUUGCAAGAGGUACACACGUCCCUCUUCUAGCUUCUUUGGAAACCAGGACACAUACCUUCCCCCACCCUUCGUUCUUAGAUGCUGACGACCAAACCCAGAGCCUCAGUCCGACGCACAGUCGUUUCUGAGCAUCGAUUCCGCCAGCUGCUGCAGAAGCGCAUCCUCCGUGCCCACCAGCUGCGAAGGGAGAACCCGGGAGAUGGAGGCCCGAGCAGGGAGGCUCCUCUGGAGAGCCCCGCACUUGGGAUCCCUCCUCGGGGGACACACUCAGCCAGAAGCGGCUUGGAGGGCGCCGUUUCCCGAAAAGGGGACGCCCCCCAACCCCGCAAGGAACCAUCCUCCCAGGGGACCGCCGGCUUCUUCCUCUGAACGCGGGAAAGCCGAGUUCAAUCUGCAACGCCCACUCAGGGGAGGCGUCGAGGCAGCCGCACGCCUAUUGGUGGAGGCGUCCGUCGCUCUCGCGGGCCGCCGCUCCGAUUGGUCCAGAGCGGCGCGCCCGCCCACCCCACCGCCGUUGGAGCACGCUGCGGUUGAGGAAGCGCGCCGGCCGAGGCUGCGGGAAGCCGGCUCCGGGGCGCUGCCCGCACCUACCAAGAUGGUAGCCCCGUUCAGGUCGGGCAGCUUGUCCAUCGGCCUCAGCACCGACAUCUCAGCGGCAGAAGAACCACCGGAUUCCGCGGCAGCCGGGCCACCCCGCUCAGCGCGCGGAUCCUUCAAACCACCGCGAGCCCCGCCUCCAGGGGGCGGGGCGGGGCGGGGCACGCAUGUCAGGGCGGGUCUUUCUGACCCGCCGCUCUUAAAGGACCCGCUGCCUCUCUGCCCUCCCUCCCGCAAGAGAUUUUUAAUUAUGUGCUUGUUUGUGCUCAUGUGAGUAUGGGUGGCUUCGGAGUCCCUGGAACUAGAUUUACAGGCAAUUCUGGGGCCACCUGACCUGGAAGGGACUUAUGUACUCUUAGCUGCUGAGCCAUCUCUCCAGAGACCCUAGCGUCCAAUUUUUUUUAAAAAAAUGUAUUAUAUUUUUAUAGAUUUUCAAUUUAAUUUUCUUUUCUUUUACGGGUAAGGGUGUUUUGCCCACGUGUGUAUCUGUGCACUAAGUGCAUAGUGCCCUGGGAACAAGUUAUGGACUGCUGUGGGCCCUGUGGAUGCUCUGAGUCCAGCCUGGGUCCUCUGUAAGGGCAGCCAGUGUUCUUAAAGGUUGGGUGUCUCUCCAGUUAAGUACAGCCUGAGUUUCCUCACCUGCCUGUUCCGGAGGGCGUGACCUUUCCCUGCCUUCGUCUUAGGCCGCCUCUCCUCCAACUACCAAGACUACGGGCCUGCAAGUUCCAAAUGUAUGAUUUUCCUUCAGGUUCCCAAACGUUUACUUCUGUCCCUAGUCUAUGUCUGUCUCGGCAGCUCUCCACCCAGCUGGAAGCCAGGCAGGGAUCAGUUGCUGCAAAUGACUUCCAGCCUUGGACUUGCUGAAAGCUGACGUGAUCAACCCCAGCUGAUGUGGUUGCCUCUUGUCAGUGGGGUCGGUGAAGCAGAGGUUUCUAAUUGCCUGAAUCCCCUCCUGCUCUUUGACUAGCAUUCCAGCCUUCCUGGGCCCUGACACCCAUGUCCUGAUUCAGCAGCAAGUAGUUAAGGAGACCACAUCACCCCUCCAGAAGGAAUGUUAGGUCAAAAGAGAGCUCCCUGGCAUAGGGGACAAAAUGGCUACCGAUAGUGCCUUUAGCAGGGACCAAUUCAAACCAGAUGGACUCAAAUCUAUCAACAGGUAGACUCAUUAGCUGAAAUGGCCCCACAAUAUGGUGGGGCGUUCCAUCUGCUUUAAGCAGGACAAGGAGGUUAUUGUGUGGCUUUGAGAAUAAUUCUUGUCUCUAUGCAAACCACUUGAAAACCAUUAGAAAAAAUCAGCAAGGAUUGUAGCUAACCGUGGAGAAGGGUGGCCUUUGCCUCUUCCUCAAGGAGGAAAGCUGCUUCUGUGUCAACCAGUUGGGUACAGUAAAGGACAAAAUCCCACAGCUCCAGAAAGAGCUCCAAAAAUGCAAGGAACAGUUCCAUGCUUCUGUCCAUAUAUAUAUAUAUAUAAUAUAUAAUUUUUUAUUUUUUGAUAUGUGUGUUUGUGUGCUCAAGCACAGACUCAGCUGUAGUGGGCUUCUAGAAUUACUGUCUCUAGGGUAAACACUAGAAUGAAGUAGUUGUUUUUCAUUGUAUCUAGGGUAAAUAUCAGAAGGAAUAGUUGUUUUCUAGAAGAACUUAGACCUUGAAGAAAUCUUGGUGGAAAACAGUGAUUCUUGUCUAUGAUUUGUAGAAUUGUUUUUCUGAAGGAGCUUUGCAGCUUUUGCCUGACUUUGGUCACGAGACAACCCUGGCACGCCCGGAUUGUCUUGCACUAUUGGGUACUGCCAAUGGUGCCCAGUUAGGACUAAGAUUUCGGGGCCUGAUGUUUUCCUUCGCAAAACAUACAGAUUAGAUCAGGGGCUUUGGUAUGAGGAACUUGUUUUGCUGAAAAAACAGCUUUUGUGUAACAAUCAAUAAAUACGCUUUUGUGCGGCUAUUGGAGAUUCGGUCCACGGAGGCUGGCUCUCCCUGCUGCCAGCGACAUCCUGCAGUGUCGCUCUUUCCCCAAGGAACCUGUGAGACCAGGACACCGACACUCAGGGAGACAGUGAGUGUCUUCCUUUGCUGCCCUCUGUCUCGCUCCGUUGAGACAAGGUCUCUCACUGAGCUGAAAGUGUACACAGGCAGAGCCUUUUCCAUGGAUGCUGAAGGUUUGAACACAUGUCCUCAAGCUUUCACAGCAAGUGAUCAAUUUCGGCUCUGGCACCAGACACACGGGGUGCUAGACAGGGCUUUUGGCGAACUGCCUCAGUCAGGUACCCCUGUCCCAGAGUUAGCUCCAUCCUUCAUACUGUUCAGAAUAAACACUUGAGAUGA